rnacentral:lncRNA from 1 species
UCGCGACUUUGCAUAACAAAAUAAACUCCCUUUAUGCAGGAAAAACUCGGUUUUGACGAUUGUUUGAAGGAGCUCACAGAAAGUCACCAACACUCACAGUAGCAGCCACCAAACUCUCCCUUCGACCGUAUCAGGGACGUUCAAUAGAAUCAUUUUGGGAUUUUGUUUGACUGGGAUUUUUAUGUUGCAUUUUUGCCAAGAUUUGUUUUUGUCAAAAUAGCCUCUUUAAGUUUGUUACCCUGGUUAGCAUUGCCAACCUUCACACAUAUCCCUGUCUUUGUUUAAACAGUGCCUUGACUUGAAGAUCCAAAGUAUUCCGACUAAUAUUUUCUUUAAUAGUUGCAAUGAUCUGUUCAUUAUUAAUAGGUGGAGAUUCUUUGUCUAUAACUGCUGUAAUAAGCACUGUUUGUUCAGUUGAAGUAGUCUGUUCAGCGUUCAUAGGCUUAACUUUGUUUAUUAUCCUGGUAGUGUUGCUGAUUGUGACAGGGUUUGAUUUUACUAUAGAAGCAUAUGUUGGUUUGUCAUCUGGCUUGUUAUUUCGAAGGUCACGAAAAUGUCCGCAAAAUUUUACUAGCCGCCUCAUGAAUCUGCAUUGAGGCUAGCCUAAUCUUAUUUCUGUCAUUCACCUUUAAUGUGCCACUUUUACCAUGACCAAGAUGAAUUGAAAUAGCAAGAACAUUGGCUAUGAUUAUCUUCAUUAACUCCUCCUCUGGAAAGUUAACUGCUAUUUCUUCAUUUGCUACAGACAUGAUUUGUUUUAAAACAUGAUCUUCAAUUUUGGAGUCGCUGUUGCUAAUAUGAAGUCAUUGCUAAUGGAGAAAUAUAGUCGAUUACAAAGAAUUGACCAGAAAACCCAAAUAAAGCAAAACAGCCAAACAACCCACAAAGUGAGAAGUCGACGGUGCUAGAAGUAGCAACUGGUGUCAUUAAGAAAAUCGCCGAAUAUCAGCCAAAGUAGAGCCAAAACAGCACUCAGUCAAUAAGCAGAGCAGAAGUUGUACAAAGUGCAAUAGGAAUACUGGCCAAAAUAAAUAAGCAGGCGUAGCGAAAGAAGAAGGCCAAUAGGUGGUGUGUGGUGUGAUUCAACUAAGAGCUUAAAAAUAGUUUAAAUCAAUUAAAAACCACAACCGGAUAAAGACAGGGUCAAGUAGUGAACGGACUACAGCCGAAAUACAAAGUAAAGUAAUGGAGUAAAGAGCCACCAUAAAAACCAUUAGAAAUGGUGUUAUGGUAAAUGAGAGCAUAAAACAGCAAACAGGCCAAACCGUCAGCAAAACAGAUGAUAAAACUGGAAAAGUGGACACUGUACAAGCAGAAUAAUUAAAAGAACCAACAAAACCAAAAGGAAUGGGUCGGUGACCGUUACAACGGAAAAACUGGUGUGCUAAAUGAAAAGCCCGUAAAACGAGAAAACCAAUCGCGGAGAAGAACGCGGACAAACAGUAAAGAGGUGAAUGGACCCCAACGAAUUACUAGCGGGAAACCGAAAUAAAACAGACGUUACAUAAAACCGCAGAAAGCCGGUGUUAAUAGAAGUUCGGUAGCUUAGAACUAGGAAGACCAAGCGGAAGUUUGAACUGGUGACUAAAAUGGAGAUGAUGGACCAUCGGCAAACGGAAUUCACAAACAGAACCCGACAGCCAAAAAAGACUGUACAAGGACCGUUACAACGGCCGUUGGCACCUGGCCAAUAGUACGGUAGAAGGUAAAAAUAUUUAGAUCGCGAUAGUUUAAAAUUGAAAAAUCGUUCAAGAAAACUGACUAUAUCAAAUAAAAUUUCUCACCAUAAGCUUCAAAAUGAUGUAUAUAACCUAUAAUCUACAAAUGAAAAAUAAUCCAGAAAACUUAAUCCAAAUCAGAGCAGACAUAAUCACCAUUAACCACAGUCGCGACUCGACGCCCUCUGAUUGCUAUAGACAGUGGACAAAGAUAAGAAGGCUGUACCGCAAAUCGGUUUAGUCAGAGGAAGAAGGAAAAGAGGAGAGGAUGAAAGAACUUGCCAGAGAGGAUUGACACAGAAAGGGAGAGGUAAGCAACCAACAGUUCCACGGCACCCCACAAGCCCCGCAUCGGAAUUUUAAUAAAAACAAAAGAAAUACGAGGGUCAUUCAAUAAGUAAAGAGACAAAUGGCUAUAGCUCAAAAACGGCUUAUUUCAAUCUUUCAAAAUUAAGGCUAUUUUUCAACAUAAUCACCCC